CUACGGGCCGCAGCAGUAGGGAAUCUUAGACAAUGGGGGAAACCCUGAUCUAGCCAUGCCGCGUGGGUGAUGAAGGCCUUAGGGUUGUAAAGCUCUUUCGCUGGGGAAGAUAAUGACGGUACCCAGUAAAGAAACCCCGGCUAACUCCGUGCCAGCAGCCGCGGUAAUACGGAGGGGGUUAGCGUUGUUCGGAAUUACUGGGCGUAAAGCGCGCGUAGGCGGGCUAUUAAGUCAGGGGUGAAAUCCCGGGGCUCAACCCCGGAACUGCCUUUGAUACUGGUAGUCUUGAGUUCGAGAGAGGUGAGUGGAAUUCCGAGUGUAGAGGUGACAUUCGUAGAUAUUCGGAGGAACAUCAGUGGCGAAGGCGACUCACUGGCUCGAUACUGACGCUGAGGUGCGAAAGUGUGGGGAGCAAACAGGAUUAGAUACCCCCGUAGUC
rnacentral:rRNA from 1 species